UAUGCCUCCCCUAGCUCAGUCACACAGCUGCCUGGUAGGUGAUUGGAGCUAUUUACCAGUGCUUGUCUGAUUUUGCUGAUGUGACCCUAACCCCACCUCCCUCCCCACCCCGCAAUGUCAACGUCCACAGAGUCUCAAGAGAGCAAAUUGGCAGCAGCCAAAAAAAAGGUUCGCACAUUGAAGCUUGGGAAGAGGCAGGAUGCACAUCACAUGCAGAAGCUGGAAAGGAGCCUUGCCCACCUCAGGAAUGAGCUGGCUGAAGCCCCAUGUCCUAAGCCCCCAGCAGGGCCCCCGGUGGCAGAACAAUAGCUAAAAUUUGAGACCAACCUCCUGAGGAAAAAUCUGGAGAGUUUGACAGAGCAGCUGCAAGCUCAGGUGAAAAUGAGAACUUGAAUCGCCUGAGCUCUGAGCAGAAAAAAAGGCUGUGGCAGCAGGAGGAGUCAUUGCAGGAGGAGAAAGAGAGAAUGUGGCUGCAGAAGGAGGAGCUGAACAAUGAGAAAAACAAGGCACUGCAGUUGUUGCAGCAAAUAAAGGAGCUGCAGGAGAAGCUGCACAACCAGAAGGUGACAGUAACCUCUGCCCCAUCCAAGAAGCGCUGGGAGGUAGAGCUGAAAAGCCAAGAGGCUCGGAGUCUGCAGCAGCAGUGAGACCAGUACCUGGGUCACCUGCAGAAGUAUGUGGCCGCCUAUCAGCAGCUGACCUCUGAGAAGAAGGCACUGCACAGGCAUUUCCUGCUACGGACCCAGCUCAUGAACCAGCUGCAGCAGCAGGAAGCUAGGGGCAAAGCAGUAGCCGAGAUGGCCCACCAAAAGUUGCAGGAGACCCAGGGGAGGGAGUUGCUGAGGAUGGGUCCCAUGGGGGAUGACCUGGCAACCUCUGUGCCUUCUUGCUUCUUUUCCUGGCCCCUUAGGAGCACUUGAAAGCUGCCACCCAGGAGAACCAGCAGCCACAGGACCAGCUGGGCCUCAUGACUCUUCCUGGGGAAGACCCCUCUGGCCACACCCCACAGGAGAUGGAGGAGGACAUAUGGACAGUGAGGAGGAGGAGGUGCCUCGGCCCAGCAUUGCAGAGAUCCUGGAGAGCCGAGAGGCCAUGGAGCCAGUGCUCAGACACCAUUUCACCUGUGACUGACAGUGCAUUCUCUGAGGCCCCAAGGGAAGGGGCUGCACUCCACCUCCAUGCCCAUUUGCUCUGUGUAUGCCGCAACAAGAAUGUUCACCUCUUCAGGUUGCAUUUUCCAACUCGGCUGGGGCCAGUGCCCAGGAGGAGCAGGAACAACUGUGUGUGCAGCCUCAGGAACGAAAGGUAUGCUACCAGCACCUGGCUCACCCAGUGGCCUUGGUGCAGGAGCCAGAGGCAGUGGCCCCGGCCCCAGCCUCAGGGACUGAGAGUGAGUCUUUGUGUGGGGAGACCAAUCAGGCACUGCAGGGAGCCAUAGAGAAGCCGCAGGUGAGUCCUGGCAUAGGCCAAGAAGGGUGGGGGCAGGGCAGGUCACUGCUGAGAUGUGACCCCAUUAUUUUUACUUCAGAACAGCUUUAUGACCCUCCGAAAGGAGAAGGUGGACCUGAAGGAGCGGGUGGAGAAACUAGAGCUUCUAUUCAUCAGGCUCUCUGAAGAGACAGACACAAUGAGAAAGGACAUCAAAUCAUGUGAGCAGCAGAGGGCAGUCCCAAAAACCCGGCACCAGGAGAAGGGGGAAAAGCAGGAGAUAAAUAUCUUUGUGAGGUGAGCCUCGCAGAUGGCAUGGAGCCUGCAAGAGACGCCAGGGAGGGUUCUCCCCAGGACAACCCCACUGUAGGAAACAUCCUGCAGCCGCUUUGUGAAAUGAAGACCUUCCAGAAGCACCCAGGCUUGGGCUGCAACCCCUAUGUGCCAUUGUUUUACCGGGCUGCCAAGAACAGGGAGAACAGCAUCACAGACAUAUUUUGUGCAAUAUUUACGGUAAUGUGCCUAUACAUUAUGAAUGAAUUAUUUCAGUCAUGCAUAGCCUAACUCAUAACUUUAUGAUGCUUGAGAAAGAAUCAACAAUUAAAACUUCAUGAAGUUCUAAUGUCUUUGUUCCAAAAUAAGUCCCAUGAUUAGGAUGUAGGGAGAUAUGUAUGUGUGCUCCCUGGAGUGGGGAUUUCUAAUUACUAGACCAUCUCCAUUUUCAGCAUUUGGCCUCUUCAUGAUACUUUUAUAAAUAUGACAUUAAUAACAGAGCAAUAAUAUGACUGUACAGAUGGAAUAACAGAUUUCCCUGCAUUCACUGAAAGAAUGCAAAUAUUGGGUCCUGGUGACUUCAACUGAUUCUUCCAAACUGUAUGAAUUUAACAAUGUAUCAGAUAAACCCAGUUUCAGAAUUAUCAAGAAAAAAAUGUUAGACCAAA